UGGGGAAUAUUGGACAAUGGGCGAAAGCCUGAUCCAGCCAUGCCGCGUGUGUGAAGAAGGUCUUCGGAUUGUAAAGCACUUUAAGUUGGGAGGAAGGGCAGUAAGCGAAUACCUUGCUGUUCUGACGUUACCGACAGAAUAAGCACCGGCUAACUCUGUGCCAGCAGCCGCGGUAAUACAGAGGGUGCAAGCGUUAAUCGGAAUUACUGGGCGUAAAGCGCGCGUAGGUGGUUCGUUAAGUUGAAUGUGAAAGCCCCGGGCUCAACCUGGGAACUGCAUCCAAAACUGGCGAGCUAGAGUAGGGCAGAGGGUGGUGGAAUUUCCUGUGUAGCGGUGAAAUGCGUAGAUAUAGGAAGGAACACCAGUGGCGAAGGCGGCCACCUGGGCUGAUACUGACACUGAGGUGCGAAAGCGUGGGGAGCAAACAGG
rnacentral:rRNA from 1 species